AUUGCUCCAAUUUUGAAGGGGUCCACCAUCACACCUUCCUCUGAUAUGAUAUGCCCAAGAUAUCCCAUCUUUUGUUGAAGAAAGUAAAAAUUUCUAGUGGCCGUUGUGUGUUCGAAAGGCGAUUUUCGGUAUGACUUCUUCGUACACUCGUAUUUGAUAAUACCCGGAUCAAAGGUCCAUCUUUGUGAAGAUUUGUGCUCCCUUUCAUAUAGCAAUUCAUCUAGUACUAGAAUAGGGUAUU
rnacentral:lncRNA from 1 species